AUAUCAAUAAGCGGAGGAAAAGAAACUAACAAGGAUUCCCCUAGUAACUGCGAGUGAAGCGGGAAAAGCUCAAAUUUAAAAUCUGGCGGUCUCACCGUCCGAGUUGUAAUCUGGAGAAGUGUUUUCCGUGUCGGACCGUGUACAAGUCUCUUGGAACAGAGCGUCAUAGAGGGUGAGAAUCCCGUCUUUGACACGGACUACCGAUGCUAUGUGAUGCACUCUCGAAGAGUCGAGUUGUUUGGGAAUGCAGCUCAAAAUGGGUGGUAAAUUCCAUCUAAAGCUAAAUAUUGGCGAGAGACCGAUAGCGAACAAGUACCGUGAGGGAAAGAUGAAAAGCACUUUGGAAAGAGAGUUAAACAGUACGUGAAAUUGUUGAAAGGGAAACGAUUGAAGUCAGUCGCGUCUUCGGAGAUUCAGCCUAGCUUCUGCUCGGUGUACUUCUCCGUCGACGGGUCAACAUCAGUUUUGCUCGGUGGAUAAAGGCGGGAGAAAUGUGGCAUCGUUCGCGAUGUGUUAUAGUCUCUCGUUGCAUACACCGGGUGGGACUGAGGAACUCAGCACGCCUUUUGGCCGGGGUUCGCCCACGUACGUGCUUAGGAUGUUGGCAUAAUGGCUUUAAACGA
rnacentral:rRNA from 1 species